GGCCCUUACAAAUGUAAUAUAAAUACUAGUUCAUCGGAAUGGACGCCACGAUAAACCCAUAAACAUAUAAAUGAGCAUAAAUAAAAAAUAAAAAAACACAAGGCUAACAACGGAUAGAGGUUCCUGAAUUGAGACAGGCGACAAAAUGCUACGGGGUUAUGAGAAUUACACACUUCCAUAUACCUGUCGCCAGUCCGGUAUAAAUAAACACACAGGGACAAGGAAGGUAAAACUCAAGUUAAAAGAAGUCCGAGUCCGAUAUGUCAAAGAAUUAAAACUAUGCACGAUUAUUUAUUAGUUGUUACUGUCUUUAAACUAAAGCGAGUACUGCGAGAACGCUCAGAUCGAUAGGUUGUCUACUUGAUAAUUUUUUUUUUUGCUUUGUGUUGCUGACUUAAGCCUUUUCAACUGAUUUUUAGAGUGUGUUCUUAUGUUGUGCUUUACACCACUGUCUCAUGUUGGGGACGGUAUAUGGCACUUGCUAACAUGUUCCAUAUCUUUGUAUUCUGUAUGUGCCUGUCCUAUUAAAAGUGAGGAAUCUGUAAUUCAGUGGUUUUU
rnacentral:lncRNA from 1 species